AUGACUGAACUGAAAGGGAAACUUGAGAGAAGGCUUAAGGACACAUUUUUUGGCUUUGCUGUGAACAACAAACUCGAGCAGCUAACCCCUGAUCUGGCUAAGAAAUGUGAGGCUGAUGAAAGGUAUGACUUCUCUGAGAACAGCCUUCAUAGCUGUCAAAGCUUGGCCUCACAACUGCUGUGUCUUAUGAAGAAUACAGUGAUGCAGUCCAGGCCCGCAGUCUGAAAGCCAUUGAUAUGGAUGGAGGAAUGAGGAAUAUGGCGUGGUGGAGGCUCUUCUCAGCUCUUCAGAAAUGGAAGGUUGCCACGGUGAGGAGUGGGAUCUGAAACUGUUUUCCAAAGCAGAUGCCCCACUUGUGAAUCUGAAGGUCAGCGCCUACAUCGUCUCCAUCCCAUGUAGCAAUGCACAUACUGGACCUGUCUUUUCAAUGAUGACCUCAGCAUGGAGAAAUGAGAGAAACCGUCUGGAUUUGGACAGUGUCAAGGCAGAGCUGUAAAAUUUGUGUCAAUUUCACAAUUGAGUGCACAGAUAUGCACCAGCAAUUCCUUGCAAAAACUCUUGGAAGCAGCCAGGAAAGGGCAAACGUAUGGCAAAUAGACAUUCGACUAUGUGCGCAACGUUUCCUCUCUGUGGGAAGGAAACGCUGCUUCAGGCUCCGCAGAGAAAACCAGAAAACCAGCCAGAGGAAGGUGUGUGAUAGAUGGUGCAGAGGCCCUGACUACGCUUCUCUUCCCACAAUCCAUCUCCACACACAUAUUCAACAAGUGGAUGCUUCCUGUUGGAGGCCCUGGGGCCCUGGGUGAAAAGCUGGUCGUCGGAGGGGGGUCCCGUUUUCAGACAGUCUCUCCUGGAAGACAUUCAUCGUGUUGCACACAGUUUGCACAAAUAUUUGUGUUAAAAAUGAAAAAAGAGAUCUGAGAGGAAUUCAAACCCUGCUUACUUUCUCACCUCCACACAGCUGACCAAUCACGGCGUAAAGUGGGUGUGAAUGACAGACUGUCGCUUUUGGAAAGUUACAGAAACGGUCGGACAGAGGGGCUCUCUGAAGCCGUCCGACGCUCCGACAAACAGUUCAGAAGAAGCAUGCCGGCCGCUUAAGCUGUCUAAUUUAUAAAACGCUGUUUUCGUGUGUAAACAACACGCGUCCACUCGAGUGUUUCCAGAUCUUUGUCCAAACUGACCAACAGGAAAGGGGGUCACAUGGUCGAACAGCAUCUGAAACCCCUUUCGGGGGGGGGGGGUCUGACGAUUGUUGUAAACUUACGAAACCAACAAUCUGCCGAUCACGACCACUUUACGCGUGAUUGGUCAGUUGAGUGGAGGCAGGGUUUGAACUUCUCUCUCAAGCUCUUUUUAGUCACUUUUCAUGUGUUUGAUCAAUGUUUUUCUUUUCUGUCCUCCAUCUUGUCCGUGUCGUUCUGUCUGAUAAAAACUUUGGUUAGUUUGGUUUAUUGUUGCUUUAUGAAUCUUUACAUGCUCUCCACAUUUUCCCCCUGGUCACGUGCGAGAUGUGUUUUCCAAUGUGACCGACUUAAUGUGGACGAACUGUCAUUAUUACAUUUGUCAAAUAUCACAUUUUUGUUCAUUUAACCACAACAAAGUCUGAACCGGAGUAAAAAUUCAAAAAGGAUUUUAAUACUGUUAAUCAGUUACACAUUCAGCUAGAUUUUCUGCAAACGGCAGGCUGCAAUCAGCUGGAGGAUAAGUGCAAUGUUGAACUGUAACACUGUCAGACAUCAUCUUUGGCAACAUGACAUUACUGCGAAGGACCAAACCUGACUGAGAAAUACAUACAUUUUGGUGGAAAACGCACAAAGAAAACUUGAAAAAUAAAUCUAUAAAUGAGUAAUAAAUUAUUUCCAGAGGCAUUAGGGAGUCUGCUGAUGGAAAAAUAAAUCCAAAUGCAACGGUAAAAAGUAAAAUGAAUAUGAAAUAUAUGU